GACACUAAGUGCGCCCAAAAUACCAUAACAAAUGGAAAGCCUACAGACCAGACGUUCUAAUUCCAUUUAACUUGAUUAUCAGGUACAGAUGUAUUAUCAAUUACAUUUGUUCGAUUAUCACGAAAUCUAACUGCCAUCAACAGAGACGACAGCCAUUGAAAGAGCGAGAGGGUGACAGAGAGAGAUGUAGAGACACACAAAGAUA